UAAUACGGGGGGGGCGAGCGUUGUCCGGAAUCAUUGGGCGUAAAGAGCGCGUAGGUGGAAUAGUAAGUCAGAGGUGAAAACCACAGGCUUAACCUGUGGCCUGCCUUUGGAACUGCUAUUCUUGAGUACGGAAGAGGGAAGUGGAAUUCCUGGUGUAGCGGUGAAAUGCGUAGAUAUCAGGAAGAACACCGGUAGCGAAGGCGACUUCCUGGUCCGUAACUGACGCUGAGGCGCGAAAGCGUGGGGAGCGAACAGGAUUAGAUACCCUGGUAGUCCACGCCGUAAACGAUGGGCACUAGGUGUUGGUUUACGAUAAGUAAGUCAGUGCCGAAGCUAACGCAUUAAGUGCCCCGCCUGGGGAGUACGAUCGCAAGGUUG
rnacentral:rRNA from 1 species